rnacentral:rRNA from 1 species
UACGGAGGGGGCUAGCGUUGCUCGGAAUGACUGGGCGUAAAGGGCGCGUAGGCGGCGCGGUAAGUCGGGUGUGAAAUCUUGGAGCUUAACUCCGAAACUGCAUUCGAUACUGCCGUGCUUGAGGACUGGAGAGGAGACUGGAAUUUACGGUGUAGCGGUGAAAUGCGUAGAUAUCGUAAGGAAGACCAGUGGCGAAGGCGGGUCUCUGGACAGUUCCUGACGCUGAGGCACGAAGGCCAGGGGAGCAAACGGG